GGCAAAGUAAUUAUAAUACUAUUCUGAAGAAAAUUUUCCAAAUAUAUAUUGCAUUGCAGUUUAUGGUUUCCUCCUGUUCUGUGGAUUUCUCGUACCAUGCCAGUCUAAAUGCUUGUUAUUGAAACCAGAACAGCCAACAUGAUAAUAUUGGUCUUCAUUCUCUUGGAAAAGAAUUGACAGAAGAUACUCAAAUAAUGUGUGAUUAGUAUUACAAAAAGUGUUACAAAAAUGUGAUAAGUGUUACGAAGGAAGUACAUCAUGCCUGAGAUUAAAGUAGGAAGUCUUUAUUGCUAUAUUAUCCUAAAAUCAAAUUUUAUCUCAUUAUUUUGAAAGUAAUAACAAUGUUAACUCAUGGAAUUCUACUUAUCUUACUAUUAAAGUUGUAAUUGCUCAUGCAUAACUAGUAUAAUCAUUAUUAGUCAGGACUUUAUAGCACCCCACAUUCAUCAUGUUUAAAAGAAUUGCCAUGUAACUAUAAAAAUGUAACAACUAGGAAAGUGUAGGAUAGUAGUAUAAGGUUAGAAAAUGAAGAUAUUUUAGGACUUUGUGACACUACCUCAAUGGAAGGUAUAUUAAAGUUCGUAACAUCUCUAUUUAAUACAAGCAAAUUAUUAUAUAUAUAUGUGUGUGUGUAUGUGUGUGUGUGUGUAUUCCUCUAUUGGUCUUAUUACCUAAUAAGAUGGGACAGAUUGAAAAUAUGAAUACAUUUUUAAGUUAAGAAAAAUGAAAAAUGCAUCAAUAAAAUUUUUUAAAGAUAUUAUAUGAUACUUCUAUCUGUGUACAACCUUAACCUACUAAGAUUUCUUGGCAACAUUUUUGGAGAUUAAAUACUGACUGGGAGGUCAAUAUCUUCAUCAUUAAAGUUUUGUCAUAUAAAGCACAAUUUAUUAACUACCCAACGGCAAUUA
rnacentral:lncRNA from 1 species